CAACAGAAGAAGAGAUGUGACAACGAACGUAAGAGGUCUGAGUGACGUGCAAGGAAGGGGCCACCAGCCAAGGAAAGCACAUGGGCUCCAGAAGCUGGAAAAGGAAAGGAAACGGAUUCUUUCCUAGAGUCUCCAGAAGGAAACAGCCCUGCUGACUCCUUCACUUUAGCCCAGUGAAACUGGUUUCCAGUUUCUGGUCUCCAGAUUGUAAGAGAAAAAAUUAGUGUUGUUUUAAGCCAUACGAAUAGGACACUUAUACAGUGGGAACGCAGAGAAGGGCAUUCUAGGGAAGGGAAUAGCAUGACAAAGGCUGUAGAGAGCAAGGGUUGUUCAGGAUACGGCAAGUUUGGCCCGUUUGGCAGUUUGGCAGCAGAGCUUGCGUGGAAACACAGCAGGAGAGGAAGCACCAAGGGAGGAUGGAAAGUGGAUUAUUGAGAGGAGGAAGAAGAUCCAAGGAAGCAGAGAAUCCAUUUAGUGAUCAUAUUGUCUAGGCAGCAAAAGGAAGACUGGCCCUGAGCCAGCAUCCAUGCCCAUCUUCCUCUACUUUAUAUGUGGGAUGCCUGCCAUGGCAUGGCUUGAUUAGCAGUGCAUAGGUCCGCACCCGGGAUCCAAACCCACAAACCCUGGGCGGCUGAAGAGGAACAUGCGAACUUAACUGCUGCACCACCGGGCCAGCCCCUGUAAAGCUCUUUUGGCCUUGCACGAGUAGGGAAAUGGUGAGGCUCUCGUUAUAUGCUAACUCCAAAGAGAAGUUGUAUAUUAACUCUUUCUUGUUUGAUGACUCUAAAGACAGCUUUGUGAACAACUUUUGUGUGUAUGAGUGUGUAUGCCAGUGUGUUCUUAAAGGUGUUUCAAUUGGUAGCAAAUCUAGUUUUGGUUUUAAAGAAAGUGUUCUAGUUUGUCUUUAUCUUGUAUAGUUCAUUAUGUAUAGAUGGCAAUUCUGAUGCAUAAUUGCUCACAUAAAUUUAAAUACUACCUAUUUACAUUCUGGUUCUUGAAAUAGAGUGAAAAUCAUCUUUCAAUAGAGGCUUUGCUUUGUCCGUUGUCAUUUUAUUUGUCCUCCUGAGGAUUAUGGGGAAAUGGAAAUGCUUUAAAAAUGAGUGCAUCUUAGUUCAAUUCAAAAUUUUAAUGCCAUCUAUAAUCUUUUGGGUAUAUCUCAAGACAGGAAAGAUUAAGAUUUAAGUUAAAAAAAUCUAAGGUACACUAUUACAUCACAAAAAUGUUGCUAUUUCCAUACUCAAAAACAGCAUGGAAUACCUAAAACAGGCAUUAUAACCACCAUUAUUUCAUUUUUGACUGUUGGAAAUACAUUUCUAUUUCAAAAUUCUACUUCCUUUUUCUCCACUGGAAUUAAUCUUUGCCUCCUGUGUUUUUAAAAAGUGUCUUGUGUUAUGAGUAUUUUAAUAUUUAUCUUAUUUCUUUUAGGGAGAUAAACUCGUUAAAGGCAAGACUAUGUCAUAUUCAACUUUGCACCCUCGUAGGCCUAUCUAGUACAGUAGCCACACAUAGCUGCACUUGAUAAAUAUUUGUUGAACUCAAUUAUUUACUAUUAUUCUUCAUCAUGGUAGAGUUGACUUCACAGUUCUCAACGUCUUACUGUGCCUUUCUCAUCAUAUCUAGAUGUUGAAGCCACUAGGGUAUAAAGACACAAGAUCAUGAUAAGAAUAAAAAUCUAGUUCUGUGCCAUACUGAUGUUCCUUUAUGAGUUUUCCACUGUUGUUAGCUUCUUUUCAAAGUGAUGGAAAUUUCCACAAACAUUUAAAAAAAUUUGACCUAAGAAUUCUUAAUCUCUUUAGGACUCUUCUUUAUGAACAAUGGAAAAAAAACUAUAGUUGUAGAAAAGAUAAUGCAUAGCCUCUCUUAAUUUGUAGAUUGACUUUCAAAACUCGUUGAAACUUUCUGUAAAAAAAAAAAGUGAUUGAUACAUUUUGCUUGGGGCUGUUAUCCACUGAACAGUUGUAUUGAAAUCUUAACCUCUAGUACUUCACAAUCUGACCCUAUUUGGAGAGAGGGUCUUUAUAGAGGUAAUUAAAUUAAAAGGAAAUCAUUAGAGUGGACCCUAAUCCAAUAGGACUGGUGUCUUUAUAAAAAGGGGAAUUUGAACACAGAGAUGAACCCACAUAGAGGGAAGAUAUCCUUGUGAAGAUGGAGGAUGGGAAUGAUGCAUCUCUAAGCCAAGGAACACCAAAGACUGCCAGCAAACCACCCGAAUCUAGGAAGGGGCAAGGAAGGAUCCUUUUCUAUAGAUUUCAGAGGGAUGAUAGCCCUGACAGCACCUUGAUUUUGGACUUCUUGCCUCCAAAACUGUGAGACAAUAAAUUUCUGUUGUUCUAAGUCAUCCAGUUUAUGGUCCUUACUUGUGGCAGCCCUCGGAAACCAACACAGAGGCUUAUACAACGUGUACCUCAUUCCACCAAAUCUUUUUUGACUUGAACUAUUGCAGAAUAAAAGUAUGUGUUAACAGUUCCACAUUUAAAGAAAGUUAAAAAAAUUUAAGUGUUCCUGGUUUGGAUAGAAAACAGGUCCUUUUGAUUCUUAAAAGGACAAAGAUUCAAAAAUAGUGGAAACUUCUGCUAAACAAAACUAGCAGUCAUGCUAGUAAAGCCUAUCAUUAUUGGACUAUAUCUCUGAGAAAUUUCCUAGAUGUGAUUGGCAGCUGUUACAUGCCACCUCAGAGGAAGAGAUGGGAUUUUUACCGAGGAAGAAGAGCCCUGAGCUAACAUCUGUGCUGAUCUCCCUUCACUUUGUAUGUGGGUUGCCGCCACAGCCUGGCUGAUGAGUGGUGUAGGUCUGCAUGUGGGAUCUGAAACUGUGAAUCCGGGCUGCCAAAGCAGAAUGUGUGAACGACCAGUGCCGUGGAUGGGAUAUUUUUUAUGUGAGGUGCAACGAUUAACAAUCUUAAUCAUCACUUAGACUAAGGUUACUUAUGGUCAUUUGUGUGAAAAAUAGAUUUCUUUGUACUUCUGCUUCAUUAUAUGCUUCAAACUUGAAACUAAUUGUUUAAUAUGUCUUCCCUGUAAUGUUGAAGGUGCCAAGAGGCCAAGGAUCAUAUCUGACUUGUUUUUGGCUGAAUCUCAGUGCCAAUGAAAUGUACGAGGUGUCCAACGACUGUGGGAGGAAGGAACAGAGGCAAGGAGGAAGACGGGAGAGAGAGGAGAGCAGAAUCAGAUGACACUUUCCUGGUCAUUCAGCCACAACAUAUGGGCAACAUUUUAAUUCUAAUUCCUUUUUAAAAUAAUAUUGAGUCAUAUUUAAAUGUUCUUUGACUUUUUGGGAGUGAAGACAUUUUUAUUUUCUCAGCAUGGGAUUGUAAGCCUGUGAUGUGGUUCCUUCAUUAGAAUGUUAGUUAUUCAUGAUGUUAGUCUUUUUAUUUCAUCUUUUGAAUGUUGCAUUUCUAUCCCUAUUUUCUCUCCUGGCCAACUAUCUUGCAAAUGUCACCACAAGGGAGAUGCGAUGGAAAAAUAAUUGUAAACAAAGAUAAUUGUAAACAAAUCCUUUGUGGGUCAGUAGGCUUUUGUCAUAUUUAAGGAACGUGUCACAGCAGUAUAUUGUAAUUGGGGAAUCAGGAAACUUAUGUGCAUUCUGCCACCCACAUGCUUUGAUGAUGAAUAAAGCUUUUCCGCAGAAUUUUUUCUUCAGAAUCAAAACUUCUCUAUAACUAUUUUGUACUGAUUACUUGAUAACUAUUCUUAAAUGUAAUGGACAUCUAGGGAUGAGAAUUUCUGUCUUAUAGUGAAGUGCUAUAUUGCUUACAUUUCUAUAUAAAAGCUCAUUCAUGAGGUUGUUACUUUUUGUCAUUAAAAAAUAAAGCAGGUGUCAACAUUCUCCACUGGAGACUAUGACUUUAAGCAAACAAAGGACACAUAUUUUAUGAUUACAUUUAUGUGGAAUGUCCAGAUAGUGCAACUUCAUAGAGACAGAAAGCAGAUUAGUGGUUGCCAAAGGCUGAGGGGAGGGAAAAUGGGGAACUAUCAUUCCUUUUGGGAUGAUGAAAAUGUUGUAAAAUUAGAUAGUGGUGAUGGUUGUACAACUCGUAAGUAUACUAGAAACUACUGAAUUUUACACUUUUAAGGAAUUUUAUGGUAUAUGAAUUAUAUCUCAAUAAAAAUGUAUUUUAAAAAGCC
ensembl:lncRNA